UACGGGGGGGGCAAGCGUUGUUCGGAAUUACUGGGCGUAAAGGGCUCGUAGGCGGCCAACUAAGUCAUACGUGAAAUCCCUCAGCUUAACUGGGGAACUGCGUGUGAUACUGGAUGGCUUGGAUUUGGGAGAGGGAUGCGGAAUUCCAGGUGUAGCGGUGAAAUGCGUAGAUAUCUGGAGGGACACCGGUGGCGAAGGCGGCAUCCUGGACCAAUAUUGACGCUGAGGAGCGAAAGCCAGGGGAGCAAACGGG
rnacentral:rRNA from 1 species